rnacentral:lncRNA from 1 species
UUCUUCAUGUUUCUGAGCUUCCAAUUGCUUUGCCCAAGAUUCCAUAUAACUCUCCUCAAUCUCGGAUUGCUUUGGUGAUCAAAAGGCUAUCAAAACACCAAAACUUAACAUAAUUUGAUUAGAAUUGAUUACAAAGGUCCUUAACAUGUUAAUUGGGUUAAAAGGCCAAAAAUACUACUCAAAAGUGUUUAAAAGGAUUAAUUACAAGCUAUCAAAUAGCACUUUUUGAGUA